rnacentral:sRNA from 1 species
GCUGGGCUUGGUGACGCAGGCCUCUAAUCCCAGCAGCUCGGGAGGCUGAGGCAGGAGGAUCGUGAGUUCAAAGCCAGCCUCAGCUAAACCAAGGUGCUCAGUGGGACCCUGUUUCUA